UAUGCCCCGCUAGGCGUUACAGUGAUGGCCUCCCCUUGCCCUCACUGUGUCACGCGAGGCACAGAUUAAACUGGUUCCUAGUUUACACUCGGCCGCCACCUACAUGGUCGCCCUGAAUGAUUGUGGAGCCAACAAU